rnacentral:rRNA from 1 species
UGAAGGAAAGGUGAAAAGAACCCCGGGAGGGGAGUGAAAUAGAUCCUGAAACUUUGUGCUUACAAAGAGUCGGAGCGCUUCGGCGUGACGGCGUGCCUUUUGGAGAAGGAACCAACGACUUACGUAUACGUGGCAAGGUUAAGACAGAUAUAGUCGGAGCCGAAGGGAAACCAAGUCUGAAUAGGGCGAUUUUAGUCACGUAUAGUAAACCCGAAACCCGUGUGAGCUAUUCAUGGCCAGGCUGAAGGUGGGGUAACACCUACUGGAGGGCCGAACCAAUUGGAGCUGCAAGUCCACUGGAUGAGCUGUGAAUAGGAGUGAAAAGCUAAUCGAACCGGGAGAUAGCUGGCUCUCCGCGAAAUAUAUUUAGGUAUAGCGUAUAAUAGUAACCAAGAGGGGUAGGGCUCUGAUAAGACUAGCGGGUUUAUUCCAACUUAGCAAAUCUUGAUAAACUUCGAAUACUCUUGGCGGAAUAUUAUACAGUCGGACAGUGACGGAUAAGCGCCAUUGUCAAAAGGGAAACAGCCCAGAUUCCUAUCUAAGGUCCCCAAGUUAUAACUCAGUGGAAAAGGAUGUGCGAUUACUAAGACAGCCAGGAUGUUGGCUUAGAAGCAGCCACUCAUUCAAAGAGUGCGUAAUAGCUCACUGGUCGAGUGAUUGUGCGCCGAAAAUUCAGCGGGGCUUAAGUUAUACACCGAAGAUGGAAGAUUUAUACAUUAGUAUGGAUCGGUAGCGGAGCGUUCUGUAAGCCUGUGAAGCAGUUGGGUAACCACCUGUGGAGGUAUCAGAAGUGCAAAUGUUGGUAUGAGUAACGUAAUGGAGGUGAAAACCCUCCACACCGAAUACCCAAGGUUUCCUGUCCUACGUCAGUCGUGGCAGGGUUAGUCGGUCCUAAGGUGCACCCGAAAGGGGCAAGCCGAUGGAUAUCUGGUUAAUAUUCCAGAACUAUAUACAAGAGGUUAUUACCUAUGUGGGGACGCAUCGCGAAUAUCGGACACUCUCAUGGAUAUGAGUGAAGAGUAAUGCUUUUGGUUGUGUAGGCAAAUCCGCACAACAAUACAAGAGGGUUAUGAUUCCUUACCCAAUACUUCUUCGGAAGGGAUAAGUAAGGUCCUGUGAUAUGAAGGUGCCAAGAAAAGCCACUCUGGGACGAAUGUAUAUAACCGUACCGUAAUCGAACACUCGUGGGUGGAUGUGAGGACAUUAAGGUGGACGGGAUAACUGAGCUUAAGGAACUCUGCAAAACAGCGGUCGUAACUUCGGGAUAAGACCUGCCUCCUCAGCAUUUAUCUGAGAGGCCGCAGCUAACGAGUCCAGGCGACUGUUUACCAAAAACACAGCUCCGUGCUAAAUCGCAAGAUGAUGUAUACGGGGUGAUGCCUGUCCGGUGCCAGAAGAUCACGGGGAGGGGUGCAAGCUCUGAACCUAAGUCCUGGUGAACGACGGCCGUAACUAUAACGGUCCUAAGGUAGCGAAAUUCCUUGUCGGGUAAGUUCCG